UGAUGUGUGUGCUCAUAUGAAUGCUCACAAGAAGAUCAAAGUUGAAUGUAUGGGUGAAGAAGAAGCAUGGCAUCUUUUCAAGCAGUUUGCAAAUGAAAAGAUCAUUAAUUCCAAUGCUAUUAUUGAACGACUAGCAAGGAAAGUUAUGAAGAAGUGCUCAGGUUUACCACUUGCUCUUAAAGUCAUUGGUCGAGCCACGUCGAAUAUGAAGACACCUGAACAGUGGCGUCACAUGCUGAGGUCGUUAAUCAAGACUGUUAUUGGUAUCGAUGAAUCAUUGUUUCACAACUUAAAGGUCAGUUAUGAUAAUUUGGCUAGUGAUACUCUCCAACAAUGUUUCUUGUGUUGUGCUCAAUGGCCUAAAGAUGCAAACAUUCCAGUCCCUUAUCUCAUAGAGCGUUGGAUUGGGUGUGGAUUGAUCAGUGACUUUGGAAACAUGGGGGAAGCCUUUGACGAGGGAUAUUCUCUCAUUGCAAAAUUAAAUGAAGCAUGUUUGUUGGAAUCACUGUUUAAUGAAAUCCAGAAUGAAGCGUGUGUCAAAUUACAUGAUGUGAUUCACGAUAUGGCACUAUGGAUUGUGUCCGAGUGUGGGAAGAAAAAGAACAAAUGGAUUCUUGAUGGAAGUGACGAUCAUUUAAGACAAUUUUUAAAGUGUGAAGUAGGCAACUGGAAGGAGACAGAACUAAUAUUGUUCAAACAUCUUGUCAUUUACGAGUAUCUCUUGAAAUUAUUAAGUGAUCAAAAUAUUGACGAAAAGGGCCAAGUUUCUGUUGCAGCAACUUCUCCUAGAUAUCCUAAUCUCCAGAGUUUAUCUAUGGCUGGAUAUCCUGAACGUGAAAUAGGGGCCGAGGUGGUUAUAAACUUUUUCCCUCAUAUGCCAUCUCUCACACAUUUGGACUUAUCUGAUGCACCUAUCAAGGGUCUUUCAAAAGAAAUUCGAGUUCUAGUUAAUCUUCAAUACCUCAACAUCAGCGGCACAAGCAUUCGGUCACUUCCACCUGAACUAGAAGAGCUGAAGCAAUUAAAAUACUUCUUCUUCAGAAGUCCAUAUUUUGAAAUUAAAGCUGAUGGGUUGUCUGUAUUAUCAAGGUUGCCCGAGUUACAAGUGCUUGAUCUUUAUAAAAAUACUUGUUUAGAAGCAGGUGACUUGAAGAUGUUGAUGGAUAGGAAGAGGAUUAAAGCGAUCAAUAUGGUUGUGAAAUCAGUUAAGAUUCUUCGACUUCUCAAAGAUUUGCCGACUUGGCAAAUAAAAUUGAAAAACAUACAUAAUAUACCUACCCUCCAGCUUUGUCAUGACUUGAGUUACAAACGUGAUGGUGAGGGUUUGAUGAGGUUAAAAUUCAGUCAUUGUCGCUUUAAGGAGUUGUCGAUAAAUGGCAGUGGGGUCAGUCUAAAGCAUCUCGAAUUGAGAUAUCUUGCAAAGCUCAAGCAAAUCACUCGGCCAGCAGAAGCAUUUCGUCGUGGAUGUUUCCCGAAGUUGAUAGAUGUUUACAUUUCUCAUUGUACAUCUCUAAGGAGUCUUUCGUGGGUUUUGCAUCUCCCAUGCCUUGAGAGAUUAGCUGUAGAAAGCUGUUUAGCAAUGGAGAAAUUGAUUGACCCUGCAGAGAUGCAACAAGCUUCAUCAGGCCUUCCCACCUUUCCUAACCUACAAUCCUUGUUAUUAGAGAGCAUGCCCAACUUAGUGAGCUUCAGCACAUGUCUAUUGGAUUUUCCUAUUUUGGAUACACUUUAUUUGGGCAGAAGUCCAAAGUUGAAGAAACUUCCUUUCAAGUCAUCCAUUGUCAAUAAUAAAUUCAAACACGUGGUGGUUGACCAAGACUUGUGGGAGAGUUUGGAAUGGGAGGACACAAUAAUCCAAUCUCACCUCAACGAGUUCCACAAGACAUAUUAGGGAAGGGAUGACGAGGGAGGAGGCUGUGUUCUUCAAGGAAUGCAAGGAUAAAGCUAUCGAGGAUUUCACUGUUGGUGCUUGUGCUUCUUCGGUCGUUGCCUGGAUUGCAUCUAGAAGCUUGGUUCCUUGUCAUAGGUUUAGCCUUUCAGCCGAGUCUGGUAUGCUGGCAGGAAUGUGGAGGUUUAAUCAUUCAUUGGAUGCUUGCGUGGAUAAAAUUCUACAGCGUGAUUGGGAUCGCAUGAAGUUUGAUGCACAGGAGGUUGACUCCAUCAACAGGUAUGGCACCGUUGUGAGAAGAAGUGUGCGCCCAAAUCAUGGAAGGAGACCCAACUUUUAUGAAGACUAUGUGAUGGGAUGAAUACAGGAUUUGUGGAAUGAUUAAUUACUUAGUAUUGAUGAAUGAUGUAAUUAGGAAAGAGAGAUUAAUUGAGAAGGUUGUGAUA